rnacentral:lncRNA from 1 species
UUUUGCUGCUCUGAAAAGCAACCUAAUCACCAUCAUCAAUUCUAAUGCUCUAACACUUCUUAGGAACAUGGAAGCUUUUAAAGUUCAGCCAUUUGUGCAUUUGCAUCCAGUGCAGACGCAGGGGCACAUUUGUUUUCCUGAUAUUUUACGCCUACUUUAUUGUCAUAUGUUGUCUGACAUUCCGAAGAUAACAUGCUGUUUUAAUCAACAGCUCAACACUGCAUUAAAACUUGAUGGUCCAUAG